UACGUAGGGUGCAAGCGUUGUCCGGAAUUAUUGGGCGUAAAGAGCUCGUAGGCGGUGUGUCACGUCGUUCGUGAAAACCUGCAGCUUAACUGUGGGCGUGCGGUCGAUACGGGCAUCACUGGAGUUCGGCAGGGGAGACUGGAAUUCCAGGUGUAGCGGUGGAAAUGACGUAGAUAUCUGGAGGAACACCGGUGGCGAAGGCGGCAUCCUGGACCGGCAUUGACGCUGAGGCGCGAAAGCCGGGGGAGCAAAGCGGG
rnacentral:rRNA from 1 species